CCUACGGGAGGCUGCAGUGAGGAAUAUUGGUCAAUGGGCGCGAGCCUGAACCAGCCAAGUCGCGUGAGGGAAGACGGCCCUACGGGUUGUAAACCUCUUUUGCCGGGGAGCAACGGGCGCCACGUGUGGCGCCACCGAGAGUACCCGGAGAAAAAGCAUCGGCUAACUCCGUGCCAGCAGCCGCGGUAAUACGGAGGAUGCGAGCGUUAUCCGGAUUUGUUGGGUUUAAAGGGUGCGUAGGCGGAGAGUUAAGUCAGUGGUAAAAGUGAGGGGCUCAACCCCUUCCCGCCGUUGAAACUGGCGCGCUUGAGUGGAAGAGAAGUAUGCGGAAUGCGUGGUGUAGCGGUGAAAUGCAUAGAUAUCACGCAGAACCCCGAUUGCGAAGGCAGCAUGCCGGCUUCCGACUGACGCUGAGGCACGAAAGCGUGGGGAUCGAACAGGAUUAGAUACCCUGGUAGUC
rnacentral:rRNA from 1 species